rnacentral:rRNA from 1 species
AUUGAACGCUGGCGGCAGGCCUAACACAUGCAAGUCGAGCGGAUGAAGGGAGCUUGCUCCUGGAUUCAGCGGCGGACGGGUGAGUAAUGCCUAGGAAUCUGCCUGGUAGUGGGGGAUAACGUCCGGAAACGGGCGCUAAUACCGCAUACGUCCUGAGGGAGAAAGUGGGGGAUCUUCGGACCUCACGCUAUCAGAUGAGCCUAGGUCGGAUUAGCUAGUUGGUGGGGUAAAGGCCUACCAAGGCGACGAUCCGUAACUGGUCUGAGAGGAUGAUCAGUCACACUGGAACUGAGACGCGGUCCAGACUCCUACGGGAGGCAGCAGUGGGGAAUAUUGGACAAUGGGCGAAAGCCUGAUCCAGCCAUGCCGAGUGUGUGAAGAAGGUCUUCGGAUUGUAAAGCACUUUAAGUUGGGAGGAAGGGCAGUAAGUUAAUACCUUGCUGUUUUGACGUUACCAACAGAAUAAGCACCGGCUAACUUCGUG